rnacentral:rRNA from 1 species
UACGAAGGGGGCUAGCGUUGCUCGGAAUCACUGGGCGUAAAGCGCACGUAGGCGGAUGUGUCAGUCAGGGGUGAAAUCCCGGGGCUCAACCUCGGAACUGCCUUUGAUACAGCACGUCUCGAGUCCGGAAGAGGUGGGUGGAAUUCCUAGUGUAGAGGUGAAAUUCGUAGAUAUUAGGAAGAACACCCGUGGCGAAGGCGGCUCUCUGGGACGGUACUG